AUUAUUGUGGCUGUUUGUUGUACUGAACUUCAAAUACGAAACAGAGCAUCAAAAGCUAUUGAAAUUCUGGAAGCAUAUGAAGGGGCAUUAAAAGAUUAUCCUCCAGAAAGUGAACGGAUUGAGCAUGGGGAAAUGCUUUUAUAUAUAAGGUUGUUGCAUGGCGUUUUGUUCCUGGUAAGCAACUGGAGCAAAAGAAAAGAAAGAAGAUUGUCAAUCCUACUACACCUGUUGUAUUGUUUACCCGUUUUUGAAAUAUUUUAGUUUAUAUGAUCAUGUACAAUGUGUGUAUAUAUUAUACUCAUAUUUUUGAUAAAGUAAAGCCUUUGGUUUAUACAUUAUAAUUAAAAUUUUAA